AUCCAGCUGACGAAUCCCAAAUAGAAAGAAACAUGCAUCCUGGAU
rnacentral:hammerhead_ribozyme from 1 species